rnacentral:rRNA from 1 species
AUUGAACGCUGGCGGCAGGCCUAACACAUGCAAGUCGAACGAGUGGCGGACGGGUGAGUAAUGUCUGGGAAACUGCCUGAUGGAGGGGGAUAAAUACUGGAAACGGUAGCUAAUACAGCAUACCAUCGGAUGUGCCCAGAUGGGAUUAGCUGGUAGGUGGGGGAAAGGCUCACCUAGGAGACGAUCCAUAGCUGGUAUGAGAGGAUGACCAGCCACACUGGAACGUAGACACGGUCCAGACUCCUACGGGAGGCAGCAGUGGGGAAUAUUGCACAAUGGGCGCAAGCCUGAUGCAGCCAUGCCGCGUGUAUGAAGAAGGCCUUCGGGUUGUAAAGUACUUUCAGCGGGGAUGCGUUACCCGCAGAAGAAGCACCGGCUAACUCCGUGCCAGCAGCCGCGGUAAUUC